UAAACAAAAGGUUUGGUCCUAGCCUUCUUGUUAAUUUUAAUUAGACCUACACAUGCAAGUUUCCGGCUGCCCUGUGAGAAUGCCCUCAAAACUACUCAAUUCUCCCAAGAUAAGAGGAGCUGGUAUCAGGCACACACUACUAGUAGCCAAACUACACCUUGCUCAACCACACCCCCACGGGAAACAGCAGUGAUUAAAAUUAAGCUAUUAAACGAAAGUUUGACUAAAUCAUAGUUAUCUAAGGGUUGGUAAAUUUCGUGCCAGCCACCGCGGGUCAUACGAUUAACCCAAAUUAACAAGCCUCCGGCGUAAAGCGUGUCCAAACAAAAGACUAUAUAAUAAAGUUAAUACUUUAACUAAGUUGUAACACACUCCAGUUUAAUACUAAGAUAAACUAUUAAAAUAACUUUAAUAAAGCUGAUACACGAAAACUAAGGUACAAACUGGGAUUAGAUACCCCCACUAUGCUUUAGUCAUAAACCAAAGUAGUUAGAUAACAAAACUACUCGCCAGAAGAACUACUAGCUACUGCUUAAAACUCAAAGGACUUGGCGGUGCCCUAAACCCACCUAGAGGAGCCUGGUUCUAUAAUCGAUAAACCCCGAUAUACCCAACCCCCAUCUUGCCAAUACAGCCUAUAUACCGCCAUCGUCAGCCCACCUUAAAAAAGAUACAAAGGUAAGCAAAAUUAAUUUUUUUCAUAAAAACGUUAGGUCAAGGGUGUAGGCAUAUGAUAGGGAAAGAAAUGGGCUACAUUAUCUAGCUUAGAUUACACGAAUCACAUUAUGAAAUCUAAGUGUGCCUGAAGGAGGAUUUAGUAGUAAAUUAAGAAUAGAGUGCUUAAUUGAAUUAGGCAAUAGGGCGCGCACACACCGCCCGUCACCCUCCUCAACUCAACCUACAAAAAUACUUAAUAAUAUAUCUAAGUAAGAGAGGAGAAAAGUCGUAACACGGGUAAGUGUACUGGAAAGUGCACUUGGAAUAUCAAAAUG
rnacentral:ncRNA from 1 species